AUUAGAUGAGCCUAUAUUAGAUUAGCUAGUUGGUGGAGUAAUAGCCUACCAAGGCAAUGAUCUAUAGCUGAUCUGAGAGGAUGAUCAGCCACACUGGAACUGAGAUACGGUCCAGACUCCUACGGGAGGCAGCAGUGGGGAAUAUUGGACAAUGGGCGAAAGCCUGAUCCAGCCAUGCCGCAUGAGUGAAGAAGGCCUUUGGGUUGUAAAGCUCUUUUAGUGAGGAAGAUAAUGACGGUACUCACAGAAGAAGUCCUGGUUAACUCCGUGCCAGCAGCCGCGGUAAUACGGAGAGGGCUAGCGUUAUUCGGAAUUAUUGGGCGUAAAGGGCGCGUAGGCUGAUUAAUAAGUUAAAAGUGAAAUCCCGAGGCUUAACCUUGGAAUUGCUUUUAAAACUAUUAAUCUAGAGAUUGAAAGAGGAUAGAGGAAUUCCUGAUGUAGAGGUAAAAUUCGUAAAUAUUAGGAGGAACACCAGUGGCGAAGGCGUCUAUCUGGUUCAAAUCUGACGCUGAAGCGCGAAGGCGUGGGGAGCAAACAGGAUUAGAUACCCUGGUAGUCCACGCUGUAAACGAUGAAUGUUAAAUAUGGGAAG
rnacentral:rRNA from 1 species